AAGUCGAGCGAAUCGAUGGGAGCUUGCUCCCUGAGAUUAGCGGCGGACGGGUGAGUAACACGUGGGCAACCUGCCUAUAAGACUGGGAUAACUUCGGGAAACCGGAGCUAAUACCGGAUACGUUCUUUUCUCGCAUGAGAGAAGAUGGAAAGACGGUUUACGCUGUCACUUAUAGAUGGGCCCGCGGCGCAUUAGCUAGUUGGUGAGGUAAUGGCUCACCAAGGCGACGAUGCGUAGCCGACCUGAGAGGGUGAUCGGCCACACUGGGACUGAGACACGGCCCAGACUCCUACGGGAGGCAGCAGUAGGGAAUCUUCCGCAAUGGACGAAAGUCUGACGGAGCAACGCCGCGUGAACGAAGAAGGCCUUCGGGUCGUAAAGUUCUGUUGUUAGGGAAGAACAAGUACCAGAGUAACUGCUGGUACCUUGACGGUACCUAACCAGAAAGCCACGGCUAACUACGUGCCAGCAGCCGCGGUAAUACGUAGGUGGCAAGCGUUGUCCGGAAUUAUUGGGCGUAAAGCGCGCGCAGGUGGUUCCUUAAGUCUGAUGUGAAAGCCCACGGCUCAACCGUGGAGGGUCAUUGGAAACUGGGGAACUUGAGUGCAGAAGAGGAAAGUGGAAUUCCAAGUGUAGCGGUGAAAUGCGUAGAGAUUUGGAGGAACACCAGUGGCGAAGGCGACUUUCUGGUCUGUAACUGACACUGAGGCGCGAAAGCGUGGGGAGCAAACAGGAUUAGAUACCNCUGGUAGUCCACGCCGUAAACGAUGAGUGCUAAGUGUU
rnacentral:rRNA from 1 species